UACGUAGGGUGCAGGCGUUUAAUCGGAAUUACUGGGCGUAAAGCGUGCGCAGGCGGCUCUUUAAGUCAGAUGUGAAAGCCCCGGGCUUAACCUGGGAAUUGCGUUUGAAACUGGAGAGCUGGAGUGUGGAAGAGGGGGGUGGAAUUCCAGGUGUAGCAGUGAAAUGCGUAGAGAUCUGGAGGAACACCGAUGGCGAAGGCAGCCCCCUGGGCGUAACACUGACGCUCAUGCACGAAAGCGUGGGGAGCAAACAGG
rnacentral:rRNA from 1 species